GAUGAACGCUGGCGGCGUGCUUAAUACAUGCAAGUCGAGCGAACGGACGAGAAGCGUGCUUCUCGGAAGUUAGCGGCGGACGGGUGAGUAACACGUGGAUAACCUACCUAUAAGACAGGGACAACUUCGGGAAACCGGAGCUAAUACCGGAUAAGAUAUUGAACCGCAAGGUUCAAAAGUGAAAUACGAUCUUGCUGUAACCUAUAGAUGGAUCCGCGCUGCCUUAGCUAGUUGGUAAGGUAACGGCUUACCAAGGCAACGAUGCAUAGCCGACCUAAGAGGGUCAUUGACCACACUGGAUCUGAGACACGGUCCAGACUCCUACGGUAGGCAGCAGUAGGGAAUCUUCCGCAAUGGGCGAGAGCCUGACGGUGCAAAGCCGCGUGAGUGAUGAAGGUCUUCGGAUCGUAGAACUCUGUUAUUAGGGAAGAUCAUAUGUGUAAGUAACUGUGCACAUCGUGACGGUACCUAAUCAGAAAGCCACGGCUAACUACGUG
rnacentral:rRNA from 1 species